rnacentral:rRNA from 1 species
UACGUAGGCAGCAAUCGUUGUUCGGAAUUACUGGGCGUAAAGAGCGUGUAGGCGGUGUUCUAAGUUUGUCGUGAAAUCUCCCGGCUUAACUGGGAGGGUGCGGCGAAAACUGGAAUGCUAGAGGAUGGGAGAGGUAAGCGGAAUUCCUGGUGUAGCGGUGAAAUGCGUAGAUAUCAGGAGGAACACCUGUGGUGUAGACAGCUUACUGGACCAUUUCUGACGCUGAGACACGAAAGCGUGGGUAGCAAACAGG